UCUGUGAACUCCUACGGGAGGCAGCAGUGGGGAAUUUUGGACAAUGGGGGCAACCCUGAUCCAGCAAUGCCGCGUGAGUGAAGAAGGCCUUCGGGUUGUAAAGCUCUUUUGUCAGGGAAGAAACGGUAGUAGCUAAUACGUUAGUGUCUUGACGUUACCGAAAGAAUAAGCACCGGCUAACUCUGUGCCAGCAGCCGCGGUAAUACAGAGGGUGCAAGCGUUAAUCGGAAUUACUGGGCGUAAAGCGCGCGUAGGUGGUUUGUUAAGUUGAAUGUGAAAUCCCCGGGCUCAACCUGGGAACUGCAUCCAAAACUGGCAAGCUAGAGUAUGGUAGAGGGUAGUGGAAUUUCCUGUGUAGCGGUGAAAUGCGUAGAUAUAGGAAGGAACACCAGUGGCGAAGGCGACUACCUGGACUGAUACUGACACUGAGGUGCGAAAGCGUGGGGAGCAAGCAGGAUUAGAAACCCGUGUAAUCCAUCAGCG
rnacentral:rRNA from 1 species